rnacentral:lncRNA from 1 species
GGGGGGGGGUCAUUCUGCCUUUGCUUUGCUAUGUUCUAUUUUUAAUUUUUUUUGUUCCUCUGCAUGGAAUUUCUGAGAUGUUAGUGGAUAGGGGACGUGGGGUGCUGGGAGGGGUGGGAGAAAAGCAGAAAGCAGUACAAAUACAAGACUUCAAGCAGAUUCUUAGAGCGAUUGGGAGGUAAAGACACAGAGAGGGUUUGGUGGAGACGCUGGGUGCUACGACAGACACACAAACACUAGCCGAACUUUCCAAAACGUCUAUUAUUCUAAGGAGGAAAUGCAGCAAGGAAGAAGCGAUUCUGACUGACUGUGCUCUGCAAGAUUACAGACCCUCUCUGUUUGAUUAUUUUUCUUUUCUUUGCCUACAAUUGGGUGGAUUCGAUCUUAAUUUUGCACAGAGAACAGAAUGCUGUGUGUGAGUGUGUGAGUGGGUGAGUGAGGGGCUGACACACACACCAGUCACACUCCCACCCCCAUCUAUGAGGGCAUACACCACACCCCACACCCAAGCACCCCAUUUCUCAUGCUUUAGGUAGAAGCAUCCUCGC